AUGGCAGAUGACACCAGUGCAACAGGAGGCCUGGAGGCCCCGGGGGCCCUGGAAUGAGAGGCCAUGGUGGUUUCUAUGCAGGCUUCGGCAGCGGCAUUCAGGGCUGGGGUCACAGACAUGGUUGGGGCUGAGGCCGCAGAGCUUGUGGAGUCAAGGCCAAGGCCGAAGAGUGGAAGCCUGUCACCAAGCUGGGCCGCCUGGUCAAGGACAUGAAGAUGAAAUCCCUGGAGGAGAUCUAUCUCUUCUCCCUGCCCAUUAAGGAAUCUGAGAUCAUUGAUUUUUUCUUGGGGGCAUCUCUCAAGGAUGAGGUUUUGAAGAUUAUGCCAGUGCAAAAGUAGACCUGUGCUGGUCAGUGGAUCAGGUUCAAUGUGUUUGUUGCCACUGGGGACUACAAUGGCCAUGUCAGUCUGGGUGUUAAGUGGUCCAGGGAAGUAGCCACUGCCAUCAAGGGGUCAUCAUCCUGGCCAAGUUCUCUACUGUCCCAGAGAGAGGCUACUGGGGGAACAAGACUGGCAAGCCCCAGACUGUUCCUUGCAAGGUAACAGGCCACUGUGGCUCUGUGCUGGUACGUCUCAUCCCUGCUUCUAGAGGAACUGGCCUGUCUCAGCGCCCGUGCCUAAGAAGCUGCUAAUGAUGUCUGGGACUGAUGACUGCUACACUGCUACACUGCUACACUUCAGCCAGGGGCUGGACUACCACCCUGGGCAACUUUGCCAAGGCCACUUUUGAUGCCAUUUCCAAGACCUAUAGCUAUCUCACUCCUGACCUCUGGAAAGAGGCAGUGUUUACCAAGUCUCCUUGCCAAGAAUUCACUGACCAUCUUGUCAAGACUCACACCAGAGUCUCUGUGCAGAGGAUUCAGGCUCCAGCUGUGGCUACAACAUACAGUUUUUAUACAAGAAUAAUGAAGUAA